CACGUGAGCCUAUUAUACAGAGUGUGUAAAUUGUAAGUUGUCUUAUCAUUCUUUGAGGAGGAGUUGUUUAUAUAGCAAAAGAUCACAAAAAUAAAAGGAAGAAAAAUAUUUGAUAAUUCAAUCAAGGAGAUUAUUCAAUGAGGUAAAUCACUUAAGUCCACCAAUCAUGCUAUGGUUGCCACAAAUAAACAAAUAAGAAUCUGUCUAAAUCUUAAUAUUGAAAUCUUCCAUAAAUAAAAUAAGGAAAAGAAAAUUCUCCCUACUUAUUAAAGGAAGUGAAGAGGGGGUAAAAAACAUUAGUAUCAAUCAGUUGCAAUAUCAUCUAAAUUUAUCAUAAUUAAUACGUAAAUGAAUGUCUGUCACACAAAAUAAGGGCAAAGAGAAAUUAGAAAAUCAAUUAGCGAAAUAGUUCCUCACAAAUAAGGAAAAAUCGAAUUACGCACAAAAUUAGGAUAAAUGAGUCAAAUCGAUAGACAAAAUGUACCUAUAUUAAGUUUGCGAGAUUUGCGAUGCAGUAGGCAAAGUAAUAGGGGUGAAUUGUGAUGUAUUUGGAGAUAGGCUACUUUUAUGAGUUAGGAGGGAUUUUUAUAAUUAGUAUAGUGAGAUGGAAUUUUAAGUAAUAAUGGAAAGUUAAGGUGUUGUUUUAAGUAAUUUUUCCUUAAAAAAAUCUAAGUAUAAAGAAGAAUUAUCCACUUUUAAUCAAAAAUAUUUUAGAACUUUGAAUUAAAUGACUCAAAUCUUCAUAUUAAUAAUGUAAAAGUUUUACAACAAUAUCAAGUUAAUAUAACGUAAACCAAUAAUGACUUAACAUUUUAUUAUUUACAAUUAAUCCUUACUUUUAUAAUAAUAAUCAUAUUAAUAGUAAUAAUAUUAAAACAUUUAAUGUCUUUUAAUAAUACUAGAAUUUCUAUUAAAAUUUGUAUUUAGCCCAUUUAUUUAAUACCCUUGCAACUGAAUGAUCAAAAACAUGUUGCAUACUUGCAAAACAAUGAGCUACAGAAGAACAAAUUAAUCAAGUCUAAAAACAAGCAAAACUAAAUGACUAUAUACAUUCUUUAUACAAAGUACAUAUAAUCUUUAUCCACACAAAUAAGGGAUAUGAAGGAGUUAAGUCUGAAAGAAAAAGAAUACCAAAAUCCAUCAAAGGAUUCGAAUAUGUGACCAAAAAUUAAGAAAAGAAAAGAAAAAAAGUAAAAAACUUAAAUGUCAAUGAAGUUAUCAACUAUUCUCUUUCAAUCAAUUACCUGCCAAAUUUUUCUUCGCGGUCCAUCUCUUCCUGCACGUAUCUAUUGCCUCCAGCUUCAUUCUUGCGAGUUCUUGAAAACAUUAUUGAUAUUGUGACUCAAUUGUAUCAAGAUCCAACUUUAACUCGGCGUUGUCCAGAUUAUCUUUCUCUACUAACGAUAAAAAUGAACAAUUGCUGGAUAAUCUCAUGUAUUUAGAAUCUUUAUUUGUAUCCGUCAAGGUGACCUCCAGAUUCAGAUUCUUUUUAAAUUCAUUUGAUAAUAGGCAGUCAACAUAAUCUCCACCAUUUCGAUGUGACUUACCUUCAUGAUGAAACAAGCCCAUGAACUCUAGCUCUAAUAAUUAUCCACUAGAACCUUUAGAGGUUAAAUAUGCACAUGUAAAGUAGUCGCCAAAUCCAAAUGAAUUUGAAGAAUCUUUGUGAAAUUCAAGCAUUAUAGCUUGAUAAUCGAUGAACCAGGAAGAAGAAAGGACAGAGUGUUGUAGGGAAUUUUAUUCUUCAUCGUCUGUACAUUACAGCAUUUCAGCUAUUUAUAUACUUGAGCUAAGAUAGUGAGCUCAUUUCCAGCUUAGUGACAACUCAUCAUAACUGACUAAACACUUUCCUAACAACCUCUAACAACUUACUAUUGCUAAUAGACUAACAAUCGAGAAGCUUCCAGAACCUUUCAUCCAAUAGAACAUUUAGUGUUGUGUGGUUCUGUACAGUGUGUAUCAUAUCUUGAGAUCAUACUUUGAGCUUGGAUCAGUAGUUAAAACACGCCCCUCAAGCUACAGGGUGCAAUAUAUUCAGCACACUAAGCUUGCGUAAUAAAUGAGCAUGUUGGUCUUGUCUUAGUCCCUUGGUUAGAAGUUCAGCCACCUCGUCAUAAGUAUGAGUAUGUAUAGCUUGUAUCAGUCCAUUUUUGAUCUUGUCCCUGAUGAAAUGUGCAGUCAAUCUCUAUGUGUUUUGUUCUCUCAUGAAUCACAGGAUUGUUGUCCAAUUGAAUUGUUGAAUUGCUGUCACUAAACACUGAUAUGGGCAAGGUAAUGUGAACCUUGAGUUCCUAGAACAAACCAACCAACCAAGUUAUCUCUACAACUGCUGAAGCCAUACUUCUGUACUCAGCUUCAGCAGAGCUCCUGGAAAAAUUGUGUUGUUUCUUGGACUUCCAAGAAAUUAAAGAUUCACCAAAAUGAACUGCAUAGCCAGUAACUGAUCACCUGGUGUUGGGACAAGUAGCCCAAUCUAAGUCAUACCAGCAAGUUAGAGUGGUAUAAUUCUCAUCCUUUACCCAGAUUCCUUGACCAAUAGAGCCUUUGAGGUACCUAGCUACCCUGAUAACAGCCUCCCAGUGUGACCUCUUGGGAUGUUGCAUAAACUGGCUGAGAGUGUGGACUGCAAAACUAAUACCUGAUCUUGUAAUAGUGGCAUACAUGAGUUUACCCACUAGUCUUUGAUAAGAAGAAGCAUCAGACAACAAAUCAUCACCUUGUGCACCUGUGGCUUGAUCAUACUCAAGUGAUGUUAACCUUAUAUUGGAUUCGAAGGGAGUGAUUGCAGGUUUUGAACCACUAAGACCAGUAUCUAAAAUUAAUUCUAGGAAAUACUUUUUUUUGUUUAAUAUCACCCCUAAAGUAGAUAUGAGGACUUCAAUACCUAAGAAGUAUUUGAGAUUCCCUUAGUCUGUCAUCUUGAAAUGCUGAUGUAACUUGGCUUUUGUUGCAUCAAUCAAUGCUGCAUUGCUUCCAGUAAGGAGUAGGUCAUCAACAUAUAAAAGAACUACUACUGUGUCAUCACCUUAAUGUAGAAUGAAGAGAGAAUAAUCAUGAGCACUCUGAGUGAAUCCAGUAUCAAAAAAAACAUGAGUCAGUUUCAGGUUCCAUUGUCUGGAAGCCUGCUUGAGGCUAUACAAGGAUUUGAGCAACUUGCAAACUUUGUGCUCUCCUUGGCUUCUGAAACCUUCUGGCAUCUCCAUGUACACUUGAUCUUCAAGAUCCCUUUGUAAAAAUGCAUUAUAGACAUCCAUUUGAUAAAGAGGCCAUCCUCUAGAUACUGCUACAACAAUCACACUAUUGAUAGUAACCAUUUUUGCCACUGGUGAAUAUGUUUCAUGAUAAUCUAGCCCUUCUUGUUGGCUAUAUACCUUGUCCACUAAUCUUGCUUUGAACCUUUCCACUUUACCAUUUGAAAUAUAUUUAAUUUUGUAUAUCCAUUUGGAACCAACAGUGUUCUUUUUUUUGGGCAGGUCAACAAUGGUCCAUGUGUUAUUGGCCUCCAAUGCUUGGAUUUCUAACUUCAUAGCUUCCACCCAUCUUUCAUAUUUUAUAGCUUGUUUAAAGUGUUGAGGCUCAGUCAGAGUGGAGAACUUUAACAAGUACUACUAAUAUGUAGGUUUUAGUUUACUGUAAGAGAGGUUGUUGGCUAAGGGGUGCUUGCAUCUCUGGGUUUUUGAAGUGUCAACAUAAUCAUGCAUCCACACAGGUGGACUGCUUGUUCUUGUUGGUCUACUGGAAGAGGUUUGAGGCAGGGAACGGUCAUCUUGACAUGUUUCUUCAUGAGUGGUGUCAGAUGAAACAGCACCAGGUACUGCAACAUUAGAAGAAGCUUAACUUAGAGAAGGCUCAGCUUGGCAAUCAACUUCAGUAUUUGCAUUAGAGAAAGGUACAUCAGGUGGUGCAGCAUUAGCAAAAUUAGCAUCAUCAACGUGAAUAUCCUCUAAAGGAACAUCAGUACCAACUUCAUUAUCUGUGGAUACCAGGAAUUCAUUGAUGUCUUCAUCAGUUUUGGAAGCAUUUGGAUGCUGUAAUUUUUCUUGUGAUGGAUCAAAGGGGAAUGAAUCUUCUUGGAACACAACUUCCCUACUCACUAAUAGUCUUUUUGAGUGGAUCUCCAGUAGCAAGUAACCCUUUUAACACUCUGAAUAUCCUACCAAUUGGCUUGUGCAACACUCAGUAUAAAAUUAUCACAAAAAUCAUUGCUUUUUGGAUCAAGCCAGCUUCCUUACCAAGAGAAAAACCUCUGAUAAUACCAUUGUUUUCCAGAAAUUCAUCAUUCAUUUCUCUAAAAUGGAGGGAAAGAAUGCCAACAUUAUUCUCAAACUAGACCUGCAGAAAGCUUUUGACAGAAUGGAAUGGUGCUUUAUCAGACAAGCGCUCCACUUUAUGUGUUGUGUGUUACUUAAAUAAUAUUGGUCACUUUUUAAAAAAGUAAAUUAGAAAAAAAAAAACGGAUCUAAAUGCAACAUUUUAUCUUUUUGUUGUAUUUCCGAAAGAUAAAGAUUGGUAAUCUGUUGCAAAAAUAUAUUCCACAUCUCAGAUAACUUACAACAUAUGGACAAUCUGUUGUAACAUAUGGAUAUAUCAGUUUGCUUUUCCUUUAGUUGCGGCGUCUGUUGCAACUUGCUAGUCAUCUGUUUAUUCAAUUUCAUCGAGAGAAAUCAAUUUUUCUAAACACUUCUUGGCCAAAUUCAGUUUUUGCUCUUGGAUUACUUCUCUUUUUUUUCUUUGCAUCCUUCAAACAAACUAAAUUUUUGCUAUUGGAUUGAGGGCAAAAGUUGAAUUUGGAGGCCAUCUUGAAGGAUGCAAAGAAAAAAAAGAGAAGUAAUCCAAGAGCAAAAACUGAAUUUGGCCAAGAAGUGUUUAGAAAAAUCUAUUGCUCUCGAUGAAAUUAAAUAAACAGAUGACUAGCAAGUUGUAAUAGAGGCCACAGCUGAUGGAAAAGAAAAAUGAUAUAUCCAUCUGCUGCAACAGAUUGUCCAUAUGUUGUAAGGUGGAAUAUAUUUUGCAACAGAUUACCAAUAUCUCAUUCGGAAAUACAACAAAAAGAUAAAAUAUUGUAUUUAGAUCCAUUUUUUAAAUUUACAUAUUAAUAAAGUCACCAGUUUUAUUUAAGUAACACACACAACACAUAAAUCCACAAUAGUUUGCAUCAGAUGUGGAGUCUGUUGCGUCAGAUAUGGAGUCUGAUGCAACAGAUAUGGAGUCUGUUGGAAUACAUAGCAGCCUUGCUGGUGGUUUGAUUUGUUCCAUCAGUUGCUCCGUAUGUUGCAACAUCAACAGCAACAUAAACUACAAGCAACAAAUAAAAAAACAUCAAAAAUAAAGAAAACAACAACAUUUGUUCCAACAACAUCAUCAACUACAAAGAAGCAUACAUCCUAUGUUCCAACACCAUCAACAACAAGGGACGGACCCACAUGGAGUCCUCCGGGUGCGCGAGCACAGACUGAACUCGUAACGAACUUUAUAUAUGUAUGUGGAAAUAAAAAAAACAUAUAUAAUCUAAUCAGUGAGCACCUAUAGUAAGAGUUGUUUGGUUAGCCUAGUUGUUGUUUAUGGGUGCUUAAGGCUAUUUAUUUCUUUUGGUCUUGAGUUCAAUUCCUACUCAGCACAUAUUUUUUAAAUUUCGGUAACCAACUCUUCUCUUCUUUAUCACUUUAAACUUUUUAUUUUUUUCUCCCUUACUCCUUGUGUUGAUUGUUCGAACUCCACUAUUUUUAAGCUAAGAAGCACCCACCGUCUAAACUACACCACACCACAAGUUCCAACAAUGUCAACCCGACCAACAACACCAAUAACAACAUCAACAACAAAGAAAGAAAUAAAAUACAUAAAAACAUGAUACUGCCAACAAGACUUUUAAAUUUCUCCCAACAAAUGACUUUUUUUCUCAUCUUAUAAUAAAAAUUCUCGGUAUGUUUAUCCAACAAUUAAAAGUUCCUUCAAAUUUUUUAAAUAAAUAUGAUAUGGGAAAAUGGUAAUUAAAUAAAUAAAAAGAUGUAAAUAACAUUGCAAGAAGAAGACGAGAAUGAAAGAGCAAUAGUGAAUCAUAUCAUACCUUAAUGUCAAAAGGGGGGUCAAAACAACAAUUUCAGUCAAGGAAUCUAAGAUAUAGAUAUCGAUCGGUUUAGAUCCGAACGAAAACUUUUGAGAAAGAGGAGAGAAAAAAAAGGAUGUGAUAACCCUAAAGAGGAUAGAAAGAAAAAAGAUGAGAGAUUUAGGGCUGAAGGAGAGGAGGGGAGAGAUGAGAUAAUUCUAAUUUCUAGAUGUACUACCCUUAUUAUUAAAUGACUAAACAAAGUGUAUUUAUUCAAAUUUAUAUUUACAAAGCAUAAUUAAUAAGACUAAUUUGAUAGUAAAAUAAACUCCUUAUUAAUAUUUUCUUGAUGGGAGUGCCAAGUCAAUAGGAAACGGAAGAAGUAUUAGAGGUUUCAAUAUUCAUUAAUUAAUAUUCUCUAAUAAUUUGAGGUGCACGAGGAAGAAAAUGGCUGACAUUGAAAAGACAGGACAAGACUACUCAAUGAGAUUUUUGAGUUAUCCAAGAAAUAUUUUUUACCGCCUUUAGUAGUAAUACUACUUUAUUUACUCGGACAGUAGCUUGCUUUAAAAUUAAAAGAAAAAAAAAAGAUUUUCAAACAGAUAUGUCAUUUGUUGCAACAGAUUUAGAUAUCUGUUUGAGAAAUCCCAAUAGCUCAGUCAUAUGUGAAAAUAGAUGGAAAUGUCAUUUGAUAACUAAAACAGAAACGUCAUCUGUUACAACAGAUAUCAAUAUCUGUUUGAAAAUUUCCAACACCUCAGUCAUCCGUCAUAACAAAUACAAAUGUCUAUUUGAUAAUUAAAUAAGAAAUGUCAUCUAUUGCAACAGAUAUUGUUAUCUGUUUGAAAUUCUCCAACAGCUCAGUUGUUUGUUGCAACAGAUUUCAUUGCAAUUGAUUUAGGAUGAACUAGGGAUGAAAGAAUGAGUUCCUCAUUAACUUAAUGUUAAGAUUAAUAAUAGUACCUACAUUGAUCUAGGUGGAACGAGGGAUGAAUGAAUGAGCUAAUAGGGUCAAUUACAAAUCCAAUUGAGUCGUUGCAUUUGCAUGGUGUUAGUAUUGCAUUCAUCUCGACCCGAAUCAUCGAUCAAUCACUCUGAGUUGAAAUGUGUUCUCAUUAACUUAAUGUUAAGAUUAAUAAUAGUACCUACAUUGAUCUAGGUGGAAUUAGGGAUGGAUGAAUGAGCAUCAACUACAACUUCAAUUGAGUUUUUUUGGCAAUUGCAUGAUGAGACGGUACUGCAUUCCUCCCGACAAGAUUCAUCGAUCAAUCACUUUGAGACGAACCAAUUUUUACUACCUCGUAUUUUCAAAUAAUACCUUAAUUGAAUAAUCUGGGUCUAGGGGUGAGUUCUCAUAUGGUCAACUACAACUUCAAUUGAGUCUUUUGGCAAAUGCAUGAUGAGACGGGACUGCGUUCCUCCCGACAAGAGUCGUCGAUCGAUUACUCUGAGCUGAACUGAUUCUUACUACCUCAUAUGUCCAACUAAUACCUUAAUUGAUUAAUCUAGGACUAGGGGUGAUUUCUCAUAAUGUCAACUACAAUAGGUGAUAACGCCUAUUUGAUAAUUUACAACAGAUGGGUAAUCUGUCGCAACAGAUGACUUAAUCUGUUUGAUAGUUUACAACAGAUUCGUGAUCUAUUGCAACAAAUGACAUAAUCUAUUUGAUAGUUUACAAUAGAUUGGAUAAUAUGUUGUAAUAGAUUACAUAAUUUGUUUGAUUGUGUGUUGCUAAUAUUGCUGCAUUUGUUUUGUAUUUUGCUACUUUGCUGUCUCUUUUCUUACAAUCCUGCAUCCGAUACUGUACUUUUGAGCAAGGGUCUUUAAGAAACACAGCCUCUCUACAAAGGUAGGGGUAAGGUCUUCAUACAUCCUACCCUGUGUACAUCUUAUCCUCCCUAGAUUCCAUCACACUGGUUAUGUUGUUGUAAGCUAUAUUAAUUCUUCAUUUUCUCCAAUGGUUUGAAAUAACUACUUCGUCUCUUUCCUUUUUUCCCAAGUUUUUAUUGUACUUUGUUUUCCUAAGUACGUGCAGAAAGUACUAAUGAUGAGAAUGACUCAUUUGAUUAGAAGAACCAAUGGUACAGGCUGUGCUUACUACAGCAUUUCCUUAGCCGUGGUGGAUAACCCCUCUUUUGUAAUCUGGGAGGACUUCAUCAGUUUCUUGAACCUUGCAACACCAUCCCACAGAGCAGAUCUUGUAUAGAUAUUUGAGAGAAUAACAUAAUUCUCAGGAUUCCAUGGCUCCAACACAGAAAGGAAUUCGACUGCUUGUUCAGCCAGUUCAACAUUGCCAUGGAAACUGCAGGCUCCUAGCAGAGUUCCCCAUAUAACAUUUUCAGGUCUCAUUGGCAUGCUUUGUAUAAGAUCAUAAGCUUCCUGCAAUCUCCCAGCCCGGCCUAAGAGAUCAACCAUACAGCGAUAGUGUUCUAAUUUUGGAGUUAUGGAGAAUCUUCUCUCCAUCACUUUUGAGGAGUUCCCAUCCCUUCUCUACCAUGCCUCCAUGUGUGCAUGCUAAGAUUUCUCCGACAAAUGUUACAUCAUCUGGUGUAUUUCCUUCUCCCUGUGUGAUACAAGUCAAAAAAUACUAAAAUGGAAACGUCACACAAAUAAUGGAAAACACUAAAAAUAAAGAAACAAGAUAGAAAAUAAAAGGGAUAGAUAGAUUGAGACAAUGACAUAAAGAGAGGACAAUCUAAUGGUAUAUCAAACCUGAAGAUCUUCCUAUCGAAAUAUCACAAGCACCAACCUCUUACGAGGACCUCACGGGAAUGGACCCGAGCAAUCCACAUUUCUCACAUUCAAUGUAACUCCCAACAAGUUACCACUAAACACUCUCAAGUGUAUUUCAAUUCAUCAUUCAAAAUCAUCUCCUUAAAAUGAAGGCUAACUAACUAUUUAUAGGCCAUGGGUCUUUACUACACAAUGUACCCAAAAGUGACCCUAAAAGCUAUUGGGCUCAAAAGUGACCCAAAGCCCAAAAUAAUGUCAUGGGCAUCCUUGCUCUCUCGAAGCCCACGCUAUCUUCCAAACACGUCGUGGCUCAAUGCUCCCGUGUAUGACAUCAUCAAAUGUAGCUUCUCCCGCGCUCCAAGCUAUCAUCCACACACGUAUUUGUUCCCCUAAAACAACCAAAUCUUGGAUCCAUAGAUGUGAUCCUUGAAGCAUCGAUCCCAAAGGAGUGGAGCCAUUGAUCUUGUUUCACAGUGUCGAUAGCACAACACUCGCAUAAAUUCCACUAUAAAAGCUCAUGCUUGCUGCGGUAAUUGGAUGUUUGAUAAGCACAACAACGGUAAAGAAGAACAAAGAGAAUAUUUGCAAAGGCUUACCAGCAUUUGAUUGAAAAUAUUAAGAGCUUCAUCACUUUUUCCAUGGACAGCUAACCCUAUGAUCAUGGUAUUCCAAGAACACAAGUUCCUCCUCCUACCAUUCUCGUGAAAGAGUUGCAUUGCCCUAUCAAUUCUAACACACUUUGUAUGCAUUUCAAGCAAAGCAUUACAAACAAACAUAUUCUUAAAGUAGCCACUUGCUCUUGCAUAAACUUCAAUCUUCUCCCCAAACUCCAGUGCCCCAAGAUUCGCACAAGCUGGAAGAACACUAGCAAUCUUAACUUCAUUAGGCUUUACCCCUCCGGCUUUCUCCAUUUCCUUGUAAAUAGCUAGUGCAUCCGCAUACUUCCCAUUUUGCGAACAUACAGAGAUCAUCACAGUCAAAGAAAUCACAUUCCUCGAAGGCAUUUCCGAAAACAACUUGAAAGCUUCUUCCAUAUUUCCAUUCUUGGCAUACCCCGCAAUCAAAGAAUUCCAAGUAGGCACAUCCUUCAUUUUCAUCUCAUCAAAGAGCUUCCGCGCAGAAGGAAACAACCCCAUUUUAGCAUACAUAUCAAAAAGUGCAGUUAACGUGUAAAUUUCAAUUUCAAAACCCCAUUUGAUGAAAUAAACAUGAACAUUUGGCUUUGAAUGGGUCUAGAAUGAUUGGCUCUUGCGGCGAAGACGAACGUGAAGGAGUGUGGAUUAGGGGAGCAGCCUUGACAGCCCAUCUAGAUGUAGAGAGAAAAACACUGGUUAGAAAUCCCAUGAGAAGAAUAGGCUUGAAUGAGCUUGUUGUAGAGGAAGAUGGUUUGGUAAUAUUGUCGAACACCGUGGGCGUACGGGAUGUUUGGGAAUUCAACAAUUUUGGUGAUCAAGUACUGGGUAAAGUCAAUGCCAUUUACGAGAGUGUGGGUGUGUAUUUGUUUCAGUUGGUUCAUAAGAAAUGUUUUAUUACGUCAACACACCAUGCAAAAAUCUACCUCAUAAGAGAUUUUCACGAUUCGAAAUUUGAUGAAUAAUCAAAAUAAUGUAAAGUAUGUGUUAUAAGAGAUUUAAGUGGUGUUCAUAUCGGUCAAACUUGUUGAUUCCAAACAAAUGCAAUUUAAUGAAGCAUGUGGCAUUGACAAUUUGAAACCUUGGAAAUACAUAAUUUAAGUUUUCUAGAUGUGAGCUUAAAUGGAGAAACACAAAAGGAUUUUUGUAGUCGAUCACAACUUGUUUGGAUUGGAGUGUAGCUAUUGUUGUUGGAAAAUGAGAGGUUUUGUAAAAUUGAUUUUGAUACAACCAAAACAAGAUGAGGUAUGUGAAUUCUCCCUGACCAUGGGCUCAAUUUAAUUUCAUCUUAUGUCCCUAAUCUGUAUUGUGAGGACUCAGUCAUAAAUUGACUAGUUUUAACUUGGAGGUUAGUAGCGAAAAUUAGUUUGUAAUGCAUAUAGCUAUUGGUAACAUUUUUUCUUAAUUUGUAAUCAUGAGUUCACGUAAGAAUGCAUAUUGUUGCGACCUAAGCCGAGGCCCUGGACGAGACGGGCUUCCCAAACCAUCAAAGACUCGAGAGACCCCUGUCUCUGCCCAACUGUCAUUACCCGAGCCGAGGCCCUGGCCGCGCCGGGCAUCCUGGACCAUCAAAGGCCUGAGAGACCCUUGUCUCUGCCCAACCCUCUAGCGAUAUUGUGCGCUCUGGGCUCAAGCCCGCACGGAUUUAAAACGCGUCACUAGUUAGUAAGGCUUACUUACUUAUAUAACCAGUUUGUUCCUGUUUUCAAUGAGUAUCCAGAAGUUUUUCCUGACGAUCUUCUAGGAGUUCUUCCUGAUAGAAAAAUAGAUUUUGGGAUUGAUCUUCUUCCCGACACUCAGCCUAUCUCUAUUCUACCAUAUAGAAUGGCUCCUGCAGAGUUAAGAGAGUUGAAAGAGCAGUUGAAAGAUCUUCUUGAUAAAGAUUUUAUUAGGCCUAACAUUUUUCCUUGGGGUGAUCCAGUCUUGUUCGUGCGUAAAAAAGAUAGUUCACUUCGGAUGUGCAUCGAUUAUCGCCAGCUGAAUAAAGUCACUAUAAGGAAUAAGUACCCCUUCCUAGAAUAGAUAUUCGAUCAGCUACAGGAUGCCAAGUAUUUUUCUAAAAGAGAUCUCAGAUCUGGUUACCAUCCUUUAAAAGUUACAUAAUGUGAUACUCUGAAGACAGCUUUCUAAACUCGAUAUGGUCACUUUGAAUUUUUAGUUAUGUCCUUUGGUUUGACUAACACUCCUGUAGUUUUUAUGGACCUUAUGAAUAGAGGUGUUUAAACCAUAUUUGAAUAUGUUCGUAAUUUUCUUCAUUGAUGAUAUUUUGGUCUACUCUCGAAGUAAGGAGGAGCAUGCUAAUCAUCUCAGGAUUGUUCUUCAAACACUUAAGAACCGUGAGCUGUAUGUUAAAUUCUCUAAGUGUGAAUUUUGGUUGGAGUCGGUAGAAUUUUUGGGCCAUAUUAUUUUCGGUAAAGACAUUAAGGUUGAUUCUCAAAAGAUUGAGGCAGUGAAAAAUUGGCCCAGACCUACUAUACCUUCUGAAAUUAGAAGCUUUAUAGGUCUAGCUGGUUACUACAGGAGGUUUGUGGAGGGAUUUUCCUCCAUUGCCACUCCUUUAACUAGAUUGAAUCAGAAAAUGGUCAAGUUUCAAUGGUCGGAGGCAUGUGAUAAGAGUUUUCAGGAGCAAAAAGAUAGAUUGACCUUCCCCCCAGUGUUGACUUUACCGGAUGAAAAUAAAGGCUUCGUGGUUUAUUGUGAUGCUUCACGGGUUUGUAUUGGUUGUGUAUUGAUGUAACGUGGUAAGGUUAUAGCCUAUUCCUCAAGAAAAAUUAAAAAUAAUGAGAGGAAUUACCCCCUCACGAUUUUGAAUUAGCAGCUGUGUCUUUGCUUUGAAGAUUUGGCAUCACAAUCUUUAUGGGGUACAUGUUGAUAUUUUCACUAAUCAUAAAAGACUCCAAUAUGUUUUCAGUCAGAAGGAGUUGAAUCUCAGGAAGAGAAGGUGGCUUGAUUUAUUCAAGGACUAUGAUUUAAGUUUGCUCUAUCAUUCUGAUAAGGAGGGGAAAACCUCAGUCCUGAGUGUAGACAAAUCUCAUUCGGUGGGGCAAACCUCAGCGAGGAUGCUGAGUCCAUAAAGGGGGUGUAUGUAACACCCCAACUUAGGAAGGAGUCCCACAUCGACAAAACACAGGAGGGAUACUGGGUAUAUAAGUAAGUAAGUCUUACUAACUAGUGACACAUUUUAAAGCCGAGGGCCUGGGCCCAAAGUGGACAAUAUCACUGAUUGGUUGGGCAGAGACAUGGUCUCUCGGUCCUUGAUUAUUUGGGAUGCCCGUUGCUGCCAGUGACUUGGCUCGGGUCGCGACACAUAUCCUGUUAUAACAUGUUUGCAGUCCUUCGGGAACAAGAUGGCAUAACACAAAUACGACACCCAUAAGUAAUAGAAAAUAGAGAAAUCUAAACAGAUUCAUAAUAAAACAUGAAACAAGGUAUCAUAACAAGAAUAAUACCCCCACCAAGUAAUUCCCUAAACUAACGACCCAGACUGACCCUAGCCUUCUGCCCUAAUUCGCGUCCUCCAGAUCUUCCUAUCUAGGGUUAUGUCCUCAGUGAGCUGUAACUGCUCCAUGUCCCGCCUAAUCACCUCUCCCCAGUACUUCUUCGGCCUACCCCUACCCCGCCUAAAACUAUCCAAAUCUAGCCUCUCACACCUACAAACCAGGGAAUCCAUGUCCCUCCUUAUCACGUGUCUGAACCAUCUCAAUCGGACUUUCCGCAUCUUAUUCUCCACUGGCGUCACACCAACUUUCUCCCUGAUAGUCUCAUUCCGAACUCUAUCCCCCCUAGACAUCCCACACAUCCAACGCAACAUCCGCAUUUCUGCCACUUUCAUUUUUUGAAUGUGGGAGUUCUUAACUGGACAACACUCCGCUCCAUACAACAUGGCCGGACGGACUACCACCCUGUAGAAUUUGCCUUUAAGCUUGGGCGGCACCUUCUUAUCACACAACCCCCCCGAAGAGAGCUUCCACUUCAUCCAUCCCGCCCCAAUACGGUGCGAGACAUCCUCAUCAAUCUCACCGUUCCCCUGAAUCACGGACCCGAGAUACUUGAAACUAUCCCUCUUACAUACCACCUAUAAUUCCAACUUCACUACCACCUCAUUCUCCAGCCUCACGUCAUUAAACUUGCAUUCCAAAUACUCUGUCUUGCUCUUACUCAACCUGAACCCUUUAGACUCAAGAGUUUGUCUCCACACCUCUAAUUUAUCAUUCACACCCACCGCGUCUCAUCAAUCAAAACUACAUCAUCUGUAAAAAGCAUAGACCAAGGAACCUCUCCUUGAAUAUGCCGCGUCAACACAUCCAUCACCAAAGCAAACAAAAAGGGACUAAGAGUAGAUCCCUGAUGCAAUCCUGUCAAGACAGUGAAAUGCUCUGAGUCUCUUCCCGCCGUCCUCACCUGAGUAAAGAAAAUAAUCUGAAGAGUAACAGGCCUUACAACUACAUAUAAUGAAAUUCUAACAAAAAGUCUUAGAAAUUUACAUCCCAACAAAGCUUAUACCAUAAAAGUUGAUUUAGUACAGUAAUAUACUUACCAUAAAAGUUGAUUGAGUUUAGUACAGUAAUAUACUUACUUAUACAACUGGAUUAUUGUACACCUAAUUAAUUUCAUAUGAUUAAUUUACAUAACAUUACUACGUAUAACUAAGGUUUAAUUUUCAAAGACUGUUCAAUGCUUAUUCUUCUUCAUCAUCAUCUUUAUCAAUGGUUGAGUCUCUUCAUAGAGAUUAAAGACUGACCGGAACUUCUUUUUCCUUAUUAAUUUAGCCGUGGCCGUUGAAGAAGAAGAUGUCUCCUGUGUAUUUUUCCUGCUUUCUUCGUCAUUAUCAGAAUCUCCGCUAAGCUAAAUUAACUGCAAAGCCGCAUCCAUUUCCAAUUCCGUAGGCAUAUAGUGAACUUUCAUCAAUUUCACCAUUGUUGUUGGAGGAGAAAAUUGAAGGAUAUGGAGUUGCAAUGCAGGGGAGUGGGUUUAUUAUAAAGGAAGCGAUUGGAAAUCUUCUCUUAGCUCUACUUGGAAAAGGAUUUAAGUAGGGGUAAUAUUGUAAAUUCACACUCAGUUUUGUUAAGUAUAACUGUAUCAGGAAGCAAUUGGAAAAUCUUUUAGUUCUACUUGGAAAAGAAGUUAAGUAGGGGUAACAUUGUAAUUAAUGCUCAUUAUUUUUUAUGUUUCACAUCAACCGCCUUUAAAUUUUUAAAACUGUCUACUUCAAUAUUAAGUGCUUUAUGAACAAUUUGUUCUUAAAAAAGAUAUAUUAUAUUUAAGUCUCUUUUUUUCUCACAAAUAAAUUAUGUGUGUUAUAAUAAUAAAUACUCCCCCGUCCCAUUUUACUCAUCCCAAAUUUUCUAAUUUGAUUUCUCAUUUUACUUGACAUUUUUCAUUAAUGAAGAUAGGAUAAUUUUUUUGCUUUUUGACCUUUAAUAUUAAUUAUUUUAUCUCCAAAUUAAAAUGUAAUCAUCAUUUAAUAGAGAUACUAUGGUAUAUAGCCAUGUUAUAAAUUGUUUUUCUUAAUCAAUGUGGAAUGUCAAAUUGAGAUGAGUAAAAUGAGAUGGAGGGAGUAUUAAUAUAAUUAAGCUAAAUCAAUUAUGAAAGUCCAACGACACUUCAUGACUUCAAUGCAAUAGGACGUUUGGAUUAUUAUUUUUAAGUGACUUAAAAGUUAAAAAUCAAAAAGUUAAUUAUGCCUUGCAAUCUACUGAUAAACUUGCAUGUUUGCCUGGACUCUGGCACUAAAAUUCACGUUGAGCCAUCCGUCAUGUUGAAUCUCCAUUCCAAAAAUUGUAGGCACCUCAUUUUCCUUGACCAUAUUUGCUAAAAAUAACACCUUGUUCCAAACUCCUUUCUUAUCGGUUGUACUUUAAUAUUGAAUUGGCUAAGGUUGUUUGAGGACUGUUGGAGAUUGAGACUUCAAAUUACCAUGUGUUUAUUAGAGGACUACAGCUUUAUAAGUUAUCAUGAAUUGGUGGUAAAGUAUGUCAUAAGAAUGCACACAUUAGAUAUAUAUAUAUACUCUCAUGCUCCAAGAUUUAAUUUGUACCUUUAUAGGGGUUGUACGGGAAACUUUAUAUUUUAGUCAGGUAAGCUCAGGCAUUUUUUGUUUUAAACAAAUAGUGGGCAUUGAUUUGAUAUUCAUAUUUAUUCAUAGUUCUUGUUCUAAGAGCGUGCCUUAAAACUAACAUAUCAAUACUUUUUAAAGUGGAACCAAAUGUAAAACGUCAUUAAUUUGAUAUUUGUUUUGUUUAUCUAUCGACUAAUAUUAUCUUCAUAUCUUAAUUAUGUCAUCCUUUAAUUUGUAUAUAAUCAAUCCCUAUUUUUUCCCAUUUGAUUACAUAUAUCAUAAUUUUAAGAAUAAUAAGUGGGAAAAUUAUGAAAAUUGCAGUAAUUAGUUCUCCCUCAACUUGCAUUCAAUCAAAUUAAAUCCUUUUUCCCUUUUAAUUUCUUUCUAAUUCUAUCUUAAGUUGCUCGUAGUGCAAUUAACGGUCCACCAAAAGCAAGAUGGGUGUGCUUGUCUAUUUUAUGUUUUUCAUUUUCACAUCGAAAUGUACAAAAUAUUGAAUUUGAGUGAUAUUGUUUGAAGAGCCAAAAAUCUAAAUAUACAUCUGAGAAAAGAGCAUAAGGAUGAAAUUUAACAUCUAGAAUUGCUUCUUCUGGUCAAAACGAUCACCAUGAUCAAUAUCAGGCUCAGUUGACAUACAAUCUCUUAUGGUACAGAAUUGCAGUAGAAUGAUCAUUGGAUGGACUUUUUAUAGGGGAACAAGCCUCAUGUGGUGAGUUAAUAUUGCUCCAGUUUUUCACCUUCCUCAAACUCUUAACUCUUCUAGUACUACUACUACUUCUUUGGUUGUUAUCAUUUCCACACCAAUUGACAACAGAAUAAGAUUUCAACAUUCGAUGAGGAGAUCCCUGAAAUGAAGUAUACCAGUAGUACUCUUGCAGCUUUGAAUUUCACUUACUUUUCUUUGAAGGUCAUCAACUUUUUUAGUACUUUUUCUUGAACUUGAUAUCCUUUUGGAGAUUGGCCUAACGAAUCCAAACCACUUAACCAAGAUUUUGCGCGAAAAAUUCCUCCAUUUUUCAAGAUAAUCAGCUUGACUAGUUGUGAAAUUUGAAAGUUUAGAUAUUGGUGUGGGAGGAGUACUAGUUGAGGGUACUGAUGAAUUUGUGUUGAAAUUAUUGAAGGCUUCACGAAAAGAUUCAAUCUUUGAUCUAUCAAGAUAUUGAGGCAUGAUACAUCCAUCAGAGAAGAUUUCAUCAGCACAAACAAAUUCUGAAAUAGGAUGAACAUCAAAGAUGAAGUUUUGUUCUUCUUUUAGGAAUCUUUUCAAAUAAGCGAUAAAUUUUAACUCUUCCUCCGCAUCCUCAUGACUAAUAUAAGAGGGACUAGGGGAUUCUGUUAGGCCACCAAUGGAUGGUUUUUUGUUCAACAACCAGCUAUAUGAAGGCAAGAGGUUGUUGGGAAUUUUCCAUAGUGAAUAAUAUACUAGAAUACAACCUCUCUACUUCACAUGAGGUAGUAGUAUGAUGUGCGUACACUUUAUUUUCCCCAGACCCCACUAUAUGGAAAUACACUGGGUAUGUUGUUGUUGUUGUUGAAUAGUAUACUAUAAUAUGGGAAGAAAGGAAAAGGAAAAUCAGAUGCUUAUAUAAAGAAUUUACAGGUUACCGCUACAACAUAUUAAAACACACUUGUUGUAAAAAAAAAAAUUUAAGUUGUCAAUGUAUAUAAGUUAAAUCUGUAUAAAAAUAAAUGAUUGGCUAAGAAUAGAGGGACUCAUAUCAGCUUAUUAUACAGAGUGUGUAAAUUGUAAGUUGUCUCAUCAUUAUUUGAGGAGGAGUUGUUUAUAUAGCAAAAGAUCACAAAAAUAAAAGGAAGAAAAAUAUUUGAUAAUUCAAUCAAGGAGAUUAUUCAGUGAGGUAAAUCACUUAAUUCCACCAAUCAUGCUAUGUUUCCCACAAAUAAACAAAUAAGAAUCAGUCUAAAUCUUAAUAUUGAAAUCUUCCAUAAACAAAAUAAGGAAAAAAAAAUUAUCCCUACUUAUUAAAGAAAGUCAAGAGGGGGUAAAAGACAUUAGUAUCAAUCAAUUGCAAUUUCAUCUAAAUUUAUCAUAAUUAAUAGGUAAAUGAAUGUCUGUCACACUAAAUAAGGGCAAAGAGAAAUUAGAAAAUCAAUUAGUGAAAUAGUUCCUCACAAAUAAGGCAAAAUCGAAUUAGGCACAAAAUCAGGGUAAAUGAGUCAAAUCGAUAGACAAAAUGUAC
rnacentral:lncRNA from 1 species